rnacentral:rRNA from 1 species
CGCAUCUGUGCAUGCAGCAUAUUAAUAAGCGGAGGAAAAGAAACUAACAAGGAUUCCCUUAGUAACGGCGAGUGAAGCGGGAAGAGCUCAAAUUUGAAAUCUUCAAGGUUUUACCUUGACGAAUUGUAGUUUAAAGAAGUGUUUUCUGUUGAAGUUUUGGUAAAAGUUCCUUUGGAAUAGGACAUCAUAGAGGGUGAGAAUCCCGUAUUUGACCAUUAGUUUUCAGCUGUGUGAUACACUUUCAAAGAGUCGGAUUGUUUGGGAAUGCAGUCCAAAAUGGGUGGUAAAUUUCAUCUAAAGCUAAAUAUUGGCGAGAGACCGAUAGCGAACAAGUACCGUGAGGGAAAGAUGAAAAGAACUUUGAAAAGAGAGUUAAACAGUACGUGAAAUUGUCAAAAGGGAAGCGUUUGACACCAGUGUUGUUUUCUCGAAAAUCAAUUAAAAAGAGUUUGAUUUUGUUGUGUAUUGACCUUAACAGCUUGCAUUUCAAUUUUCUUGCUUUUUUUAAUGCACUUUUCGUUUAACAAGUCAACAUCAGUUUCUUUUGUUGUAAAAAGGUCAUUGGAAGGUGGCUUUCUUUUCGGAGAAAGUGUUUAUAGCCUUUGACUCCUGCAAUCGGAGAGACUGAGGUCUGCAGCGUAGAUCCUUCGGGGUUAGAUACAUUUGUGCUAAGUUAUAGCUUUUUAUAGACAACUUGUUGACUAUGAUUAGUCUUGUAGCUUACUCGCUUAUGCUAUUUUACCUACGCUUAGGAUGUUGACACACGCGCGUGCUCG